rnacentral:rRNA from 1 species
AACCUCGUCCUCAUGGCUGUCGGGCUGGCCAUGGCGGGCUACGGCGCCUACCUGCUCGUGCUCUGGCUCCAGCUGCUGCCUCCGUCGCCGCCGGCGCCGCCUCCAAGCGGCGACCUAGUGCACCUUGGCCGGCCGAUGCUUCUUCUUAUUGACGUGUCUAUCUCAGAUGGGACCUCGGAGAAGCUCAUCAGCGCAUGGUUUAUUUUUGCAUUUAUAGGUGUCGGUGUUAUACUUUUCAUUACCUCCAUCUUCGGUUGUGCUGGAGCGUCAGCUAGGAGUGGAUGCUGCUUAUCCACUUAUUCAUUCCUCAUCAUUUUGUUCAUACUAGUAGAGCUUGCUGCAGGAUGCUUCAUUUUCUUCGACCAUAGCUGGAAAGAUGUAAUUCCAGUUGAUAAAACUGGUAACUUCGACAUGAUCUACAGUUUCCUGAAAGAAAAUUGGAGAACCGCAAAAUGGGUCGCACUUGGAGCUGUUGUGUUUGAGGCACUGUUGUUCACUGUAGCCCUCAUAGUGCAGUCAGGCAAUCAAGAUGAUUAUGACAGUGAUGAUGAGUACAUUGGCCCGAGGUCCGGAGUCCGUCAGCCAUUGGUGAAUAAGCAAACUGCUACCGAUCCCAGGGUGCCCAAUCUUGACUACCGUCCAAUCAGGAACGAUGCAUGGAGCCAAAGAAUGAGAGACAAGUAUGGGGUGGAUUCCUUUGAUCCAAACAGGUUUCAACAGGCCACGAUAUCUCCCGCAGAACAAAGAAGCAGAUGCACAAUCCUCUGA